AGAGUUUGAUCCUGGCUCAGAACGAACGCUGGCGGCAGGCCUAACACAUGCAAGUCGAGCGCCCCCGCAAGGGGGAGCGGCGGACGGGUGAGUAACGCGUGGGAAUUUUCCUCAAGGUACGGAACAACUCAGGGAAACUUGGGCUAAUACCGUAUGAUGUCUAGCGACCAAAGAUUUAUCGCCUUGGGAUAAGCCCGCGUCAGAUUAGGUAGUUGGUGGGGUAACGGCCUACCAAGCCUGCGAUCUGUAGCUGGUCUGAGAGGACGAUCAGCCACACUGGGACUGAGACACGGCCCAGACUCCUACGGGAGGCAGCAGUGGGGAAUCUUGCGCAAUGGGCGAAAGCCUGACGCAGCCAUGCCGCGUGAAUGAUGAAGGUCUUAGGAUUGUAAAGUUCUUUCGCCCGUGACGAUGAUGACGGUAACGGAGAAGAG
rnacentral:rRNA from 1 species